UACGUAGGGGGCAAGCGUUGUCCGGAAUCAUUGGGCGUAAAGCGCGCGUAGGCGGCUCGAUAAGUCCGCUGUGAAAGUCCAGGGCUCAACCCUGGAAUGCCGGUGGAUACUGCCGGGCUAGAGUCCGGAAGAGGCGAGUGGAAUUCCUGGUGUAGCGGUGAAAUGCGCAGAUAUCAGGAGGAACACCGAUGGCGAAGGCAGCUCACUGGCUCGUAUCUGACGCUCAGGCGCGACAGCGUGGGGAUCAAACAGG
rnacentral:rRNA from 1 species